UACGUAGGGUGCGAGCGUUGCCCAGAUUUAUUGGGCGUAAAGGGCGCGUAGGCGGUCACGCACGUCCGUUGUGAAAUCGCUCGGCUCAACUGGGCGGGGUCAGCGGAUACGGCGUGGCUGGAGCAAGCUAGGGGGCAAUGGAAUUCCCGGUGUAGUGGUGGAAUGCGUAGAUAUCGGGAGGAACACCAGUGGCGAAGGCGGUUGCCUGGAGCUUUGCUGACGCUGAUGCGCGAAAGCGUGGGGAGCGAUCCGG
rnacentral:rRNA from 1 species